rnacentral:misc_RNA from 1 species
CUGCCACAUCUGAGUAACUAGCUGUUUGGCGGGUGACCAUAUGGCUAAGUGUCGGUCUAUCUACUAAGAGGGGAUAGUCUCCCAUCUAUUUGGGUAGUUCUGCCAAUAAGUGUCACUCUAUAUGUACAAGAGCGUGUAGUCGAGGGGAUAUCUCCCCUCGGUUUACAUUAGAAAUAAGCGCUUGGUUUAUAACCACUAAAACUUAUUCCGAG